rnacentral:tRNA from 1 species
GGAGGGAUGGCUGAGUGGUUUAAAGCGGCGGUCUUGAAAACCGUUUCCCGGAAACGGGACGUGGGUUCGAAUCCUACUCCCUCCGCCA